rnacentral:rRNA from 1 species
AGAGUUUGAUCCUGGCUCAGAACGAACGCUGGCGGCAGGCUUAACACAUGCAAGUCGAGCGAACUGAUGGACUUCGGUUCUGAAGUUAGCGGCGGACGGGUGAGUAACGCGUGGGAACGUGCCCUUAGGUACGGAACAACAGUUGGAAACGACUGCUAAUACCGUAUGAUGUCUUUCGAGACCAAAGAUUUAUCGCCUAGGGAUCGGCCCGCGUUGGAUUAGGUAGUUGGUGGGGUAAUGGCCUACCAAGCCUACGAUCCAUAGCUGGUUUGAGAGGAUGAUCAGCCACACUGGGACUGAGACACGGCCCAGACUCCUACGGGAGGCAGCAGUGGGGAAUCUUGGACAAUGGGGGCAACCCUGAUCCAGCCAUGCCGCGUGAACGAUGAAGGCCUUAGGGUUGUAAAGUUCUUUCAGCAGGGAAGAUAAUGACGGUACCUGCAGAAGAAGCCCCGGCUAACUCCGUGCCAGCAGCCGCGGUAAUACGGAGGGGGCUAGCGUUGUUCGGAAUUACUGGGCGUAAA